rnacentral:rRNA from 1 species
UCCUACGGGGCGCAGCAGUGAGGAAUAUUGGUCAAUGGACGCAAGUCUGAACCAGCCAAGUAGCGUGCAGGAUGACGGCCCUCCGGGUUGUAAACUGCUUUUAGUUGGGAAUAAAAGGGGGCUCGUGAGCCCCGUAUUGUAUGUACCAUCAGAAUAAGGAUCGGCUAACUCCGUGCCAGCAGCCGCGGUAAUACGGAGGAUCCGAGCGUUAUCCGGAUUUAUUGGGUUUAAAGGGAGCGUAGGUGGAUUGUUAAGUCAGUUGUGAAAGUUUGCGGCUCAACCGUAAAAUUGCAGUUGAAACUGGC